rnacentral:rRNA from 1 species
CAAGCGGUGGAGCAUGUGGUUUAAUUCGAUGCAACGCGAAGAACCUUACCUGGUCUUGACAUCCACGGAAGUUUUCAAAAAUGAUAAUGUUCCUUCCGGAACCGUGAGACAGGUGCUGCAUGGCUGUCCUCCGCUCGUGUUGUGAAAUGUUGGGUUAAGUCCCGCAACGAGCGCAACCCUUAUCUUUUGUUGCCUGCGGUCCGGCCGGGAACUCAAAGGAGACUGCCAGUGAUAUAACUGGAGGAGGGUGGGGAUGACGUCAAGUCAUCAUGGUCUUUUACGACCAGGGCUACACACGUGCUACAAUGGCGCAUACACCGAUACACGACCUCGCGAGAGCAAUCGCACAUCAUAAAGUGCGUCUCUAGACCGGAUUGGAGUCUGCCACUCCACUCCAUGAAGUCUGAAUCUCUAGUAAUCGUGGAUCACAAUGCCACGGUGAAUACUUUCCCGGGUCUUGUACACACC